GACCGCGCAGCUCAGUUGGAAGAGCAUUGGGCUAGUAAUAUGCCAAAGGUAGUAGGUUCGAUUCCCACCGUGGUCA